UACGGGGGGAGCAAGCGUUGUUCGGAUUUACUGGGCGUAAAGGGCGCGUAGGCGGUCGUGACAAGUCACUUGUGAAAUCUCCGGGCUUAACUCGGAACGGUCAAGUGAUACUGCCGGACUAGAGUACAGAAGGGGCAACUGGAAUUCUCGGUGUAGCGGUGAAAUGCGUAGAUAUCGAGAGGAACACCUGCGGCGAAGGCGGGUUGCUGGGCUGAUACUGACGCUGAGGCGCGAAAGCGUGGGGAGCGAACAGG
rnacentral:rRNA from 1 species